GUCGACAGACCCUUCGGGGUUAGUGGCGCACGGGUGCGUAACGCGUGGGAAUCUGCCCUUGGGUUCGGAAUAACAGUUAGAAAUGACUGCUAAUACCGGAUGAAGUCUUCGGACCAAAGAUUUAUCGCCCAGGGAUGAGCCCGCGUAGGAUUAGGUAGUUGGUGGGGUAAAGGCCUACCAAGCCGACGAUCCUUAGCUGGUCUGAGAGGAUGAUCAGCCACACUGGGACUGAGACACGGCCCAGACUCCUACGGGAGGCAGCAGUGGGGAAUAUUGGACAAUGGGGGAAACCCUGAUCCAGCAAUGCCGCGUGAGUGAUGAAGGCCUUCGGGUCGUAAAGCUCUUUUACCAGGGAUGAUAAUGACAGUACCUGGAGAAUAAGCUCCGGCUAACUCCGUGCCAGC
rnacentral:rRNA from 1 species